rnacentral:rRNA from 1 species
UACUGCCUAUCAGAGGGGAAUAACAGUGAGAAAUCAUUGCUAAUACCGCAUAUGCCAUAAUUAUCGCAUGAUAAUAGUGGGAAAGGAGCAAUCCGCUGAUAGAUGAGCUUGCGUCUGAUUAGCUAGUUGGUGGGGUAACGGCCUACCAAGGCAACGAUCAGUAGCCGGACUGAGAGGUUGAACGGCCACAUUGGGACUGAGAUACGGCCCAGACUCCUACGGGAGGCAGCAG